rnacentral:lncRNA from 1 species
GAGGUGUCAAAUUAAUUUCCACCAAUUGUGUGUGAAAUCGUUGCCAAAGUCUACUUUGGGAUACCCAGAGAUAACUUCGUUACGGGCACCCUGCUGACUUAGGAAAAUAAGCCUUACUACCCAGUCAGGCAUUUAAUGUGGAUGUUAAAUCAUUUGUGAUUACUAAUGUCUGAGUACUUUGUCAUUGCCAGGCCCUCAUUUUCCAUCAGAGCAGUCCUAAUUGAUUUAAAUGGUCUGUUUCGCCUUGGUGCACGCAUGAUCACAUCGUAAGUGGUCUUUAGGACUAUUUUAAUUGCCAAGGAUGUUUUUCCUUAAGAAAAUCUCCGCCCAGAGCAGAACAAAUUAUUAU